UAGUACGAGAGGACCGGAGUGGACGCAUCACUGUUGUUCGGGUUGUCAUGCAAAUGGCACAGCCCGGAAGCUAAAUGCGGAAGAGAUAAGUGCUGAAAGCAUCUAAGCACGAAACUUGACCCGAGAUGAGUUCUCACAGAGACUUUAGGUCUCCUGAUGGAACGUUGAAGACGACGACGUUGAUAGGCAGGGAGUGUAAGCGCAGCGAUGAGUUGAGCUAACCGGAACUA
rnacentral:rRNA from 1 species